CAGUAAGUAGUUUAUUAAAAUAUCAAUUUUGGAGAUUGAUGAUGAGUUUAUCUCUUUACUGA
rnacentral:tRNA from 1 species